rnacentral:rRNA from 1 species
AUUGAACGCUGGCGGAAUGCUUUACACAUGCAAGUCGAACGGCAGCACGGGGGCAGCCCUGGUGGCGAGUGGCGAACGGGUGAGUAAUACAUCGGAACGUGCCCGGUCGUGGGGGAUAACGUAGCGAAAGUUACGCUAAUACCGCAUACGAUCUGAGGAUGAAAGCGGGGGACCUUCGGGCCUCGCGCGAUCGGAGCGGCCGAUGUCAGAUCAGGUAGUUGGUGGGGUAAAGGCCUACCAAGCCGACGAUCUGUAGCUGGUCUGAGAGGACGACCAGCCACACUGGGACUGAGACACGGCCCAGACUCCUACGGGAGGCAGCAGUGGGGAAUUUUGGACAAUGGGCGCAAGCCUGAUCCAGCCAUUCCGCGUGCAGGACGAAGGCCUUCGGGUUGUAAACUGCUUUUGUACGGAACGAAAAGGCUCUGGCUAAUACCUGGGGCUCAUGACGGUACCGUAAGAAUAAGCACCGGCUAACUACGUG